rnacentral:rRNA from 1 species
AGGGAAUCUUCCGCAAUGGGCGAAAGCCUGACGGAGCAACGCCGCGUGAGUGAUGAAGGUCUUCGGAUCGUAAAACUCUGUUAUUAGGGAAGAACAAAUGUGUAAGUAACUAUGCACGUCUUGACGGUACCUAAUCAGAAAGCCACGGCUAACUACGUGCCAGCAGCCGCGGUAAUACGUAGGUGGCAAGCGUUAUCCGGAAUUAUUGGGCGUAAAGCGCGCGUAGGCGGUUUUUUAAGUCUGAUGUGAAAGCCCACGGCUCAACCGUGGAGGGUCAUUGGAAACUGGAAAACUUGAGUGCAGAAGAGGAAAGUGGAAUUCCAUGUGUAGCGGUGAAAUGCGCAGAGAUAUGGAGGAACACCAGUGGCGAAGGCGACUUUCUGGUCUGUAACUGACGCUGAUGUGCGAAAGCGUGGGGAUCAAACAGGAUUAGAUACCCUGGUAGUCCACGCCGUAAACGAUGAGUGCUAAGUGUUAGGGGGUUUCCGCCCCUUAGUGCUGCAGCUAACGCAUUAAGCACUCCGCCUGGGGAGUACGACCGCAAGGUUG